rnacentral:misc_RNA from 1 species
CAAAAAAGGCCAAAAAUAAUUUACAACUAGAAAUCAACUCUUUGAAGCCAGCGCAUAAUCAUCUUAAACUAUUAAUUAUCACAAGAAUGAUUAGUGAUUGCAGGGAAAGACAACUGCAACAAUUAGGCUAAUGCAUUUUCUGCAUGGGCAAGGGAUGAAUAUACUUACUGCCAAACUAAAAGGAGAAAAAGAGAUGGCUACAGGUUCAAACAAAACAGGUUAGGGAAAGGAAGACAAGCCUUAAAAUCUUACUGAUGUGAGCAAGACCAAAGCUAAAAUGGUUCCACUGGUAUUACGACCAAAUCCAUGCUAACAAAAAACACUUGACCCAGAAUAACUAAUAAAUGUGAAAACACCACAAAAGAUUCUUCAACUAUUUAAAAAAAGAUGCCAUAUCAUAUGAUUGCAAGGACAAUUCCAACCAACCAAUAAUGUCCUCAAGCAAGGACAAAAAUACAUGCACAUAAUACAUUUUUCUGCAUCAGAAUGUGGACACUUAAUUUUGUUCAUCAAUAUUUGUUUCUAUAAAAAAGACGGUUAAUGAUGCCUUGAAACUUAAAGGCACAAUACAUUUCAUCUUAUAGAGCAAGAAGUUAAAAACUUUUUAUGUUUUUUAUGUUAAAUUUAGAUAGAAAACAGUGAGAAUCAAACCUCAUCAUUAAGGCCUCCAGAUCC